AUUUUUUUUCCUUUUUAAUAAUAAAAAUUCUCCCGUUUUACAAUAAGACCAGUCACACACGACGCUUGUUCUGCUGUAGAUGGCCUGCUGGGAGCUGUGAUGGUAUCACAAUGGCUCAUCAUGGCUCCGCUACGUGAUCGCGUGCUGCAUUUCGUGAUAAAACAUGUGCUGUUUUUCCCGCUUUGUUCUUUACUGUUGGAUUUAGACACGGGCCGAUAAGAUAAUGGCAUCUCGUCACAUGGACGCAAACCGGCAUAGUGAUAUUAUGUGUGAUACUGAUAACUAAGUAAACUACGCAUAUACAAUCACGUCUAUUUU